rnacentral:rRNA from 1 species
GAUGAACGCUGGCGGCGUGCUUAACACAUGCAAGUCGAACGGAAAGGCCCAAGCUUGCUUGGGUACUCGAGUGGCGAACGGGUGAGUAACACGUGGGUGAUCUGCCCUGCACUUCGGGAUAAGCCUGGGAAACUGGGUCUAAUACCGGAUAGGACCACGUCUUGGAUGUUGUGGUGGAAAGUUUUUUCGGUGUGGGAUGAGCUCGCGGCCUAUCAGCUUGUUGGUGGGGUAAUGGCCUACCAAGGCGUCGACGGGUAGCCGGCCUGAGAGGGUGUACGGCCACAUUGGGACUGAGAUAAGGCCCAGACUCCUACGGGAGGCAGCAGUGGGGAAUAUUGGACAAUGGGGGCAAGCCUGAUGCCGCGACGCCGGGUGGGGGAUGAAGGCCUUCGGGUUGUAAACUCCUUUCGCUAGGGACGAAGCGUUUUUGUGACGGUACCUGGAGAAGAAGCACCGGCUAACUACGUG